rnacentral:snRNA from 1 species
GUAUUCCCUUCAGCAGUAAAUACACUAAAAUUGGAAGGAUACAGAGAAGAUUUGCAUGGCCCCUGAGUGAAGAUGACAAGCAAAUUCUAGGGUAAUCACUAAAGAAU